rnacentral:rRNA from 1 species
GACGAACGCUGGCGGCGUGCUUAACACAUGCAAGUCGAACGGAAAGGCCCUGCUUUUGUGGGGUGCUCGAGAGGCGAAAGGGUGUGUAACACGAGAGUAACCUGCACUUGACGGUGGGAUAACUUCAGGAAACGGGGGAUAAUACGGGAUAGGAGCUACUGCUGCAUGGUGAGGGUUGGAAAGUUGCCGCGGUGGGGAAUGGACGCUCGGCUUAUCAGCUUGUUGGGGGGGUAGCGGCUUACCAAGGCGUUGACGGGUAGGCGGCCUGAGAGGGUGACCGGCCACCUUGCGCCUGCGAUACGCACCAGACUCCUACGUGCGGCAGCAGUGGGGAGUAUUGUGCAGUGGGCCGACGCCUGAUGCGGCAACCUCGCGUGCGUGAUGCCGGCUUUUGGGUUGUAAACCUCUUUCGCCUGUGCCGAAGCGUUAGCGACGGUAACGGGUCAAGAAGCCCCGGCUAACUACGUG